CUGCAUGUUAAGGAAAAAAUCAUUCAGCUCCUUAUUCCCUUAAGGAGCAUGAAUAUAUAUAUAACAUGCUAGAAAAAACAAGGAGUCUUCAGGGCCUCCAGUCUUGCAGUGAAGGCUGAGUGGUAGUAUAUGUCUCCUACAUCU
rnacentral:snoRNA from 1 species